UACGGGGGGGGCAAGCGUUGUUCGGAAUUACUGGGCGUAAAGGGCUCGUAGGCGGCCAACUAAGUCGGAUGUGAAAUCCCCAGGCUCAACCUGGGAACUGCAUCCGAUACUGGAUGGCUUGAAUCCGGGAGAGGGAUGCAGAAUUCCAGGUGUAGCGGUGAAAUGCGUAGAUAUCUGGAGGAAUACCGGUGGCGAAGGCGGCAUCCUGGACCGGCAUUGACGCCGAGGAGCGAAAGCUAGGGGAGCAAACGGG
rnacentral:rRNA from 1 species